GUCUAUAAGAAGUCAUAGAAAAUAUAUACAUGUCUAAGUCCAAAUAAACACACAUCCAUUUGUUAUCAAAGAAAAUUUGAACAAAAUUAAGAGGGUAGCUUCGAUAUCUGAGAAUUGCCAAGGAAAUGUGUUGCUUUCCCUAUGCUUCUAUCGCUUAAUCUGAACACGUGACCAACAUAACCACUUAACUCUCCUCUGCAAUCUUCAUCGCUUGGAUCAUUGAAAUAUAUGAAAUUCCCAUCCCAUCCAUCAAAUUCUUUAGUAGAAAAAGAGAAACAACACUCAUUUCCCACAACAAAAACUCGAUCAUCCAAUGUUUUCACAUCUACCCAGGUACCCCAAUCUUCAUCAAGCUUAUAAACUUUGACGUCCACUGUCUUAGCUCUACUUCUUCGGUAGUUUCUAACAAGAUAAAGCAAGUAUUGAUUUAUAUGCUCAUCUUCAUUGCCUUGCCAUGUCCUCCUUUCUCCAUCAAGGUACCUAUCCACAACAUAAAGAUCCCCACAGGACUCCACCAAAUUCUUCUUGCUACCACAACCGUAUAGUGGAGGUGAGUAUUGAAUCAAAUUCAAUGAAGAAUCAAUCCAAGAAACAGUUCCACAUCUAUCAAUAACAUACAAUUGUCCCUUGUAUACUAUAAUGUCAUCGUAAUGAAAAUUCCUAUCAUCUAAUAGAUUCCAAUUCUCAUCUCCAUUUCUCCAAUAACCCAAUUUUCCUUCAUGAAAGAUAGCAAAAAGCCCAAAAUCACUGCUACUAACAUCAUUACUCAGAUUGGUAUUUGGAAACGGAACCAUCUUAUCAAUCCCAAGAACUGGACGGCCUUUUGCACGUUUAAGAGUACAAGCUUUAGCCAAUUCCACCAAACGAAAGUUCAAUAAGUUCAACGUUUUUUUGGGAACAGGCCAGGAUAAAGCUUUAAUUUGGCGGUUUGAGAGUGGCAUCAAAAGCUGCAUAUCGCCUACCGUUGACUCCUCCACCUUAGUCAACCAGGCCAUAGAAUUAGAGCUCGAAGAGCUGAAAUUGUCCUCCACCUGUUCGAGACGGCAGAUUGUGACAGGAGAUAAGAAAGCGUCUGCAAAGAUUGGGGGAGGAAGCUUGAGAGGGAUGCGAGUUGAUUGCCUGUAGGAGGGAGAAACAGAGGAUCGCCAUGAAGUGCACACAGCCCGAAAUCGGUACACGUCGAUGCGACAAUCAAGGUGUUUUCCAAUUUUUUGCAGUAAUUCCUUUGGAAGAUUGGCCCACUGGUAAAGGGUAUUCCUAUCACUCAUCUCUCUCUCGCAGAUUGGUGAAGAGCUUAAAGAC
rnacentral:misc_RNA from 1 species